rnacentral:rRNA from 1 species
ACGAACGCUGGCGGCGUGCUUAACACAUGCAAGUUGAACGGGGCAUAUAUUUGACAGACUUUUCGGAGUUUAGGAGAUAUAUGUUUAGUAGCGGACGGGUGAGUAAUGCAUGAGAACCUGUCCUUCAGAGGGGGACAACAGCUGGAAACGGUUGCUAAUACCCCAUAAGCCGAGAGGUGAAAGGAGUAAUCCGCUGGAGGAGGGGCUCAUGUCCUAUCAGCUAGUUGGUAAGGUAACGGCUUACCAAGGCGACGACGGGUAGCCGGUCUGAGAGGAUGUACGGCCACACUGGGACUGAGAUACGGCCCAGACUCCGUAC